rnacentral:rRNA from 1 species
GGGGUGCAGCAGGCGCGAAAACUUUACAAUGCUGGCAACAGCGAUAUGGGAACCCCGAGUGCCCAGGUUACAAAUCUGGCUGUCGAGAUGCCUAAAAAGCAUUUCAUAGCAAGGGCCGGGCAAGACCGGUGCCAGCCGCCGCGGUAACACCGGCGGCUCGAGUGGUAACCGUUAUUAUUGGGUCUAAAGGGUCUGUAGCCGGCCGGAUAAGUCUCUUGAGAAAUCUGGCAGCUUAACUGUCAGGCUUUCAGGAGAUACUGUCUGGCUCGAGGCCGGGAGAGGUGAGAGGUACUUCAGGGGUAGGGGUGAAAUCUUGUAAUCCUUGAAGGACCACCAGUGGCGAAGGCGUCUCACCAGAACGGACCUGACGGCAAGGGACGAAAGCUAGGGGCACGAACCGGAUUAGAUACCCGGGUAGUCCUAGCCGUAAACGAUACUCGCUAGGUGUCGGCCACGGUGCGACCGUUGUCGGUGCCGUAGGGAAGCCGUGAAGCGAGCCACCUGGGAAGUACGGCCGCAAGGCUGAAACUUAAAGGAAUUGGCGGGGGAGCACCACAACGGGUGGAGCUUGCGGUUUAAUUGGAUUCAACGCCGGAAAUCUUACCGGGAC